rnacentral:ncRNA from 1 species
GCAGAGUAGACAUCGCGCGUCAAGUGCCAGGAGAUGGGAAGUUGCUCCUGGACGAAAGGUUUCGCCCUGCGGUGUAGAUGUCGCAUUCCGCUG